rnacentral:rRNA from 1 species
UACGGAGGGUGCAAGCGUUAUCCGGAUUCACUGGGUUUAAAGGGUGCGUAGGAGGGUAGGUAAGUCAGUGGUGAAAUCCCCGAGCUUAACUUGGGAACUGCCGUUGAUACUAUCUAUCUUGAAUACCGUGGAGGUGAGCGGAAUAUGUCAUGUAGCGGUGAAAUGCUUAGAUAUGACAUAGAACACCAAUUGCGAAGGCAGCUCGCUACACGAAUAUUGACUCUGAGGCACGAAAGCGUGGGGAGCAAACAGG